rnacentral:rRNA from 1 species
GGCCAUUGGCGGGGUGCUAAUACAUGCAGUCGAGCGGACAGAAGGGAGCUUGCUCCCGGAUGUUAGCGGCGGACGGGUGAGUAACACGUGGGUAACCUGCCUGUAAGACUGGGAUAACUCCGGGAAACCGGAGCUAAUACCGGAUAGUUCCUUGAACCGCAUGGUUCAAGGAUGAAAGACGGUUUCGGCUGUCACUUACAGAUGGACCCGCGGCGCAUUAGCUAGUUGGUGAGGUAACGGCUCACCAAGGCGACGAUGCGUAGCCGACCUGAGAGGGUGAUCGGCCACACUGGGACUGAGACACGGCCCAGACUCCUACGGGAGGCAGCAGUAGGGAAUCUUCCGCAAUGGACGAAAGUCUGACGGAGCAACGCCGCGUGAGUGAUGAAGGUUUUCGGAUCGUAAAGCUCUGUUGUUAGGGAAGAACAAGUGCAAGAGUAACUGCUUGCACCUUGACGGUACCUAACCAGAAAGCCACGGCUAACUACGUGCCAGCAGCCGCGGUAAUACGUAGGUGGCAAGCGUUGUCCGGAAUUAUUGGGCGUAAAGGGCUCGCAGGCGGUUUCUUAAGUCUGAUGUGAAAGCCCCCGGCUCAACCGGGGAGGGUCAUUGGAAACUGGGAAACUUGAGUGCAGAAGAGGAGAGUGGAAUUCCACGUGUAGCGGUGAAAUGCGUAGAGAUGUGGAGGAACACCAGUGGCGAAGGCGACUCUCUGGUCUGUAACUGACGCUGAGGAGCGAAAGCGUGGGGAGCGAACAGGAUUAGAUACCCUGGUAGUCCACGCCGUAAACGAUGAGUGCUAAGUGUUAGGGGUUUCCGCCCCUUAGUGCUGCAGCUAACGCAUUAAGCACUCCGCCUGGGGAGUACGGUCGCAAGACUGAAACUCAAAGGAAUUGACGGGGGCCCGCACAAGCGGUGGAGCAUGUGGUUUAAUUUCGAAGCAACGCGGAGGACCUUACCAGUCUUGACAUCCUCUGACAACCCUAGAGAUAGGCUUUCCCUUUCGGGGACAGGAGUGACAGUGUGCAUGCUGUCGGUCAGCUCGUGUCGUGAGAUGUUGGGUUAGUCCCGCACGAGCGCAACCUUGAUCUUAGUUGCCCAGCAUUCAG